rnacentral:rRNA from 1 species
GUAGGUGGCGAGCGUUGUCCGGAAUUAUUGGGCGUAAAGCGCGCGCAGGCGGUUCUUUAAGUCUGAUGUGAAAGCCCACGGCUCAACCGUGGAGGGUCAUUGGAAACUGGAGAACUUGAGUACAGAAGAGGAAAGCGGAAUUCCACGUGUAGCGGUGAAAUGCGUAGAGAUGUGGAGGAACACCAGUGGCGAAGGCGGCUUUCUGGUCUGUAACUGACGCUGAGGCGCGAAAGCGUGGGGAGCAAACAGGGAUUAGAUACCCUGGUAGUCCACGCCGUAAACGAUGAGUGCUAAGUGUUAGGGGGGUUUCCGCCCCCUUAGUGCUGCAGCUAACGCAUUAAGCACUCCGCCUGGGGAGUACGACCGCAAGGUUG